UUGGAGGUUGUGCCCUUGAGGCGUGGCUUCCGGAGCUAACGCGUUAAGUCGACCGCCUGGGGAGUACGGCCGCAAGGUUAAAACUCAAAUGAAUUGACGGGGGCCCGCACAAGCGGUGGAGCAUGUGGUUUAAUUCGAUGCAACGCGAAGAACCUUACCUACUCUUGACAUCCAGAGAACUUUCCAGAGAUGGUUUGGUGCCUUCGGGAACUCUGAGACAGGUGCUGCAUGGCUGUCGUCAGCUCGUGUUGUGAAAUGUUGGGUUAAGUCCCGCAACGAGCGCAACCCUUAUCCUUUGUUGCCAGCGGUUAGGCCGGGAACUCAAAGGAGACUGCCAGUGAUAAACUGGAGGAAGGUGGGGAUGACGUCAAGUCAUCAUGGCCCUUACGAGUAGGGCUACACACGUGCUACUAUGGCGCAUACAAAGAGAAGCGACCUCG
rnacentral:rRNA from 1 species